AGUUACUAGGCAGUGUAGUUAGCUGAUUGCUAGUAGUAGUACCAAUCACUAACCACACAGCCAAGUAAAC
rfam:Sarcophilus harrisii ctg7180002460322, whole genome shotgun sequence.